UACGGGGGGGGCAAGCGUUGUUCGGAAUUACUGGGCGUAAAGGGCUCGUAGGUGGCCAACUAAGUCAGACGUGAAAUCCCUCAGCUUAACUGGGGAACUGCGUCUGAUACUGGAUGGCUUGAGUUUGGGAGAGGGAUGCGGAAUUCCAGGUGUAGCGGUGAAAUGCGUAGAUAUCUGGAGGAACACCGGUGGCGAAGGCGGCAUCCUGGACCAACACUGACACUGAGGAGCGAAAGCCAGGGGAGCGAAACGGG
rnacentral:rRNA from 1 species